rnacentral:lncRNA from 1 species
CCCAAGUCCAAGACCACACUUCCUGAAGGAAGGGUAGUAGACCUGCACUGUGAACCCGAGGUGCCUCCCAGCCCGGCAUCUGUCAGCUGGUCUACACAAGGUGCUGGGACUGUCAGCCCAAUGACACAUGGUGCUGGGCUGAUAGAGGCCUCCUGCCUUGUCUUCCAUCUUAUGAAAAAAAAAUUGAAUACAGCCCC